rnacentral:rRNA from 1 species
UUUACACAAUCAUCAACAAACGCCCGGGUAUUACGAGCAUCAGCUUAAAACCCAAAGGACUUGACGGUGUCCCACCCAACUAGAGGAGCCUGUUCUAUAAUCGAUAACCCCCGAUAUACCCUACCCCACCUCGCCAAUCAGCCUGUAUACCUCCGUCGCAAACUUACCAUAUGAAUGCCAAUAGUAAGUUUAAAUAGUCUAAAACAAACACGUCAGGUCAAGGUGCAGCUCAUGAUGGGGAAAGCAAUGGGCUACAAUUUCUAAAAUAGAACAUACGAAAUGCUGCAUGAAACACAGCCACGAAGGCGGAUUUAGUAGUAAAAAGU